GGCAAGAUGGCCGAGCGGUUAAGGCGUGUGACUCAAGCUUUCUGAGCUUACCUGCUUAGUCAGGUUCAUUCUCAUCACAGUAAUGUGGCGUGGGUUCAAGUCCCACUCUUGUCA
rfam:Hebeloma cylindrosporum h7 unplaced genomic scaffold scaffold_15, whole genome shotgun sequence.